rnacentral:lncRNA from 1 species
GUUCUUCCAUUUCAACAUAACUCAUUCGGUAUCGGGCAACCGAGAUGGAUUGGGUGUCAGAUUGAAGAUCAAUGACAAAUUUGACAUUUCAAUCCUGGCUAUCCUGGUAGUUCAUUACGAAAUAUGUCUGGGAAGUUUUGGACAACUGGGAUAUCUUGAAUGUAAAUAUCUUUUUUGGGUUUACCUAUCACGAAAAAAGAAUGUUUAAAUUAAUGUUAUUCGAUUAAAUUCAAUAUACUACCACCAUGUGACAACGAUAUAUAAGAUUUUGCUAAUUAGUGAGAGUUUUUAUUAGUAAUAUUGAAUACAAACCUCUUGU